AGCAGCCGCCGCGGGAAAACAGAGGGUGCGAGCGUUAAUCGGAUUUACUGGGCGUAAAGCGUGCGUAGGCGGCUAAUUGAGUCGGAUGUGAAAUCCCCGAGCUUAACUUGGGAAUUGCAUUCGAUACUGGUUAGCUAGAGUGUGGGAGAGGAUGGUAGAAUUCCAGGUGUAGCGGUGAAAUGCGUAGAGAUCUGGAGGAAUACCGAUGGCGAAGGCAGCCAUCUGGCCUAACACUGACGCUGAGGUACGAAAGCAUGGGGAGCAAACAGGAUUAGAUAUCCCCGUAGUCCCUGUCUCUUAUAC
rnacentral:rRNA from 1 species